GACAUGAUGUGAUGUUUUUCCAAACCUGUCUCUCACAAGGAUAUUACUUUAGGAUAAUCACUCCUCCUAAAAUCACUCCGGAAAGAGGACUUCUAGAGCUGCUUCCGAAAGUGGCAAGAACGGUGGGACCUACACUGAGAAUCCUGGAGAACUGUCAGUAUGGCUUGACAUCAGUGAACUGUGCACUUGAUUCUCGGAGGAAAUGGUAAGAAUGGAGGGAUUUCCAGAAUGCACAAAGAUUAUUUAUACCAUUGAAAGACACAUUGAGGAAUAAGGCACUUAAGUGUCCCACGGACAAGGGCUGUAACUGGCUAUUGAUUGGAUGAGCUGGAGAUGGGUAGUGCCUCUGGGACCUGAGAAGGACUGAAAGGAAAUUCACCCCCUCCGCAUGGUAACACCUUCAGGUUCUGCGAGUCAUUCACGUCACAAAAGAGAGUAAAACAAAACUCAGCAAUGAAGUACUCUGAAGAGAAAUAAAUCUGUUCUCCAAAGAAAGAAG